GCUAAGUGUAUUUAAUAUUUAGUUACGUCUGCUCAAUGAUUAUAACUUAAAUAGCCGCAGUACCUUGACUGUGCUAAGGUAGCAUAAUCAUUUGGCUUAUAAUUGAAGUCUGGCAUGAAUGAAUUUAUGGGGGACAACUGUCUCCUACAAUUAUUUUGAAAUUAUUUAGUAAGUGAAAAUACUUAUAUUUACAUAAUAGACGAGAAGACCCUAGAAAUUUUCUAUAGUAGGUUAAAUUAACCUUCAUAUUUUGUUGGGGCGACAGAAUAACAUAUAACUUAUUUUACUUUUGGGGAUUAUAUUGUAAGAUAAAAUAAAUUACUCUAGGGAUAACAGCAUAAUGUAUAAAAGUUUGUGACCUCGAUGUUGGACUAGGAUUUUUAAUAACCAGAAGUUUUUAAACUUAGCUCUGUUCGAGCUGUGUUUCCUACAUGAUCA
rnacentral:rRNA from 1 species